ensembl:lncRNA
UAUGAAACUAAUGAUUGAUUACAGAAAUAAAGAAACAUAGCUAUGCAUGAUGCAUGUAUAUUCAAAUAUAAUAUGUAAUAUUUAGUUGGGUUUUUCACAGGGGAAAACAAGCUUCGCCCGUACCGAGCUGUCUGUCAAUGAAAAGUGAUAAUUCAAUGAACCCUCCACUGAAAUUUCAAAGUGAAACAUCACAAUUGCACAGGACGAUAAAACAGGAGAGAUCCCACACAUCAGCACCCAGCUGUGCGUCUCUCAAAAGUAACUGGUCUCUGGACCUACCAGACUCUUUUAACAAAUCUUCUGGGCACAGGUAAGAGUUCUGAAGCACAUUUACCAAGAUCCCACACAUCAGCACCCAGCUGUGCGUCUCUCAAAAGUAACUGGUCUCUGGACCUACCAGACUCUUUUAACAAAUCUUCUGGGCACAGGUAAGAGUUCUGAAGCACAUUUACCAGUUAUGUUUUGGAGGCAUGGUUUCCCAAAGGUGUAAUUUUUACUAUGUUGGAAGAGAGUGCUGUCUAACAUGUCAUUCCAAUAUCUGACUCUGAACGCUAUAGCGUAGACUUAACAUCAAUUUACAUCAUACUCGUCAAAUCCUUCAAUGAGCACUCAUGUCCAUAAUACCUGUGUCUAGCUAUUAUGAGCCUUUGCAUUGAUUCUACAAGUCUCUGGAACUGUACUACAGGGACAGAAUACUGUUCUUCUAAAAAGAUAUUCCCUGAGGUGUUGUUUUGAUGAUGG